rnacentral:rRNA from 1 species
UACGUAGGGGCCUAGCGUUGUCCGGAAUUAUUGGGCGUAAAGAGCUCGUAGGCGGUUCGGCAAGUCGGAUGUGAAAUCUCCACGCUUAACGUGGAGGGGCCAUUCGAAACUGCCGUGACUCGAGUCCGGUAGGGGAGUGUGGAAUUCCCGGUGUAGCGGUGAAAUGCGCAGAUAUCGGGAGGAACACCAGUGGCGAAGGCGGCGACCUGGGCCAAUAUUGACGCUAAUGUGCGAAAGCGUGGGGAGCAAACAGG